AAAAGGGAAUUCAGGUAUUGCAUGUUGGUCAUGUUGUAUUGCUAUCCCAAAAUACUUUUCAGUAGCUAGCAUGUGGAGGCUGAGGAUUUCUAUUAUCCCUAAGAGUAUUAUUUUAAUGCAACAGCGCUCCAAAUAACAUCAUUCUGAAAUAUUACAGUGGCAGUAUUACAAAUGCUUGCAUUUAAUAUGUAGGUCAAGCUGGCAUUUUCAGACAAGGGCUGACUGCACUUCUGGUUGAGGAUUAGCCAUAGUCACAGCUGGGACUCUAAGAUGACAAAAUGCAAGGGUUCUUUCUAUCUUUGACACCUAAACAGAUGUUGGAAAUAGCCUUUAAUUAGAGCUGAAAACAUAUUAGUGUUGCAGACAGGUGACUGAGGCAGUUUAUCUGUGCUUGUGAAACAAGACUUGAAAUGCUAUAGUUAAAUCCCAGAGACUAAACAAAGACAGCUAAUCUGCAUGAUUGAGAAGAGAGACUCUGAUACUCUGAUUGGUUAAGAACUUUUUUUCUUCCAGUCACAGGCUAUCUCUAACAUGUGCAUCCUCAGUGCUGAUCUGACUGCCACUCUGGUCUCAGCCAUUGACACAAUUUUGGAGAUAAGAAGAUUCAGAGAUUGGAGAAGCAGUAUUUGAAAGCUCAGCAAAGUCUUUUUGCAGGGCACAUCAGUCAGCAAAAAAAGUUCACAAAAAGACCAAGAGCAUAAGAUACAAGGGUAAGGGUAAGUUGUUAUAGCCAGUGGCUUUCAGACUUACAGUGAAAUAAACUAAUACUAGAAAACUUUCUCUGUGGCA
rnacentral:lncRNA from 1 species